rnacentral:ncRNA from 1 species
ACGGGGGCUCGCAAUGCAGUGGACAUGGGGUUUAAUGCAAUGUAAUGCGAAGCACCUCACCCGAGUUUGAAAUAUAUGCUUUUAAGAUUUCAAUAAAUUUUAAAAGUUACGACUACAGGAGGUACAUACCUGUCGUGAUAUGUUGGGCUAAGCCCCGCAACGAGAGCAGCCCUUAUUUAAAGUUGAAUCUCUUUAAAAAGUGGUUAUACUUUUCUAUAAAUAAGGAGGAAGGGAUGGAAAACGCCAACUCCUCAAGCUUUUUACGCUCUGGGCUGUCUAGACACGUGCUACAACGGAUGGUAAAUAAAUUCUGAAAGUCGAGGGAAAAUAUUCUUUUAAACCCUAUUUGAUGGGUUAGACAUAAAUAUAUUUUAAAACAAUUCUUAUUUCGGAAUAUAAAUUCCUAUCUAUUUCUCUGAAUCUGGAAUCGCUAAUAACCGUCGGUCAGCCUGAAGGCGUCAUCGAGCCUUGUA